UACGUAGGGGGCAAGCGUUGUCCGGAAUCAUUGGGCGUAAAGAGCGUGUAGGCGGUCCGGUAAGUCGGUUGUGAAAGCCCAGGGCUCAACCCUGGGAUGCCGACCGAUACUGUCGGGCUAGAGUCCGGAAGAGGCGAGUGGAAUUCCCGGUGUAGCGGUGAAAUGCGCAGAUAUCGGGAGGAACACCAAUGGCGAAGGCAGCUCGCUGGGACGGUACUGACGCUGAGACGCGAAAGCGUGGGGAGCAAACAGG
rnacentral:rRNA from 1 species